GAUGAAGAACGUAGCGAAAUGCGAUAAGUAAUGUGAAUUGCAGAAUUCAGUGAAUCAUCGAAUCUUUGAACGCACAUUGCGCCCGCCAGUAUUCUGGCGGGCAUGCCUGUUCGAGCGUCAUUUCAACCAUCAAGCCCCAGGCUUGUGUUGGAGCCCUGCGGCUGCCGCAGCCUCCCAAAACCAGUGGCGGGCUCGCUAUCACACCGAGUGCAGUAGUUUACUCUUCGCUCAGGGCGUGUGGCGGGUGCUAGCCGUAAAACCCCCAACUUCUCACGGUUGACCUCGGAUCAGGUAGGAAUACCCGCUGAACUUAAGCAUAUCAAUAAGCGGAGGA
rnacentral:misc_RNA from 1 species